rnacentral:rRNA from 1 species
UACGUAGGGGGCAAGCGUUGUCCGGAUUUAUUGGGCGUAAAGAGCGUGUAGGCGGUCAGGUAGGUCCGUUGUGAAAACUCGAGGCUCAACCUCGAGACGCCGAUGGAAACCGUCUGGCUAGAGUCCGGAAGAGGAGAGUGGAAUUCCUGGUGUAGCGGUGAAAUGCGCAGAUAUCGGGAGGAACACCGGUGGCGAAGGCGGUUCUCUGGGCCUUACCUGACGGCUGAGGAGCGAAAGCGUGGGGAGCGAACAGG